GCGGUUCGUGUGUGGAUCUCGUCAGCAUAUCGUCGCAAACAGGUGUGUAACUGACACCCUCUCAUAGAAUAGAUUGGCAAAAGCCGAAAAGUCGAAAUGCCGAAAAGUCGGUAUUUUGGGAAUUUACGAGUGUGCGAAUGCUCGUAAGAUAGUUGGGUUUGUAUAUUUGGUAAUCUAAAGUAAUAAACUGAAGUACGCGCGAUUUCGUACAUUUUGAUAAUUU
rnacentral:lncRNA from 1 species